UACCCACCACCAUAUUCUACCACCCACAAAACCUCUCAUCUCUUCCAAAACCUCCUUUUUAAACCUUCACUUCCUUUAUUUAAUUUUAAAAACCCUAAAAUCCUCUCAUCUACAGCCGCACACCCCUCCCUAGUCCGAGCAGAGAUUCCGGCGAUUGCUCCGGCGAGCAUACAGUGACUCCGGUCACACACCUAAAUCUCCCAGCAGACUAGACCCCCACCUCCCUUCUCCCGGUAUCUUUCCAUAACACCUUACCCACAACCACCUUCCUUGAAACCCCUUACUCACAGAUCAGAAAUGGAGGGUUUUUGACAUGAUUUUGGAUGACGAUGUUGAUGGUGACGACGGCAGCCGGCCGACGCUGGAGCUGCAUCGACGACGACUGCAGUAGAGGUGAGUAUCUUUGGUUCAAGUUCGACUUAGAUUUCGUGCUCAGAUUCUGAUGUGGUUUGAGUUUUGGUUCGGGUUCACUUCAGAUUAUGUCGGGUUUUCGGCUCCGUUUCGGGUCUCGGUCAAAGCUGGUCAGCCGCGGUUCGGGUGUGGUUCGACGUAAAAUGUAAUAAAAACGUAAAAUGCUUUAUGAAUGUAGUCAAUGAGUUUUAUGAAUGUAAAAUGUAAUAAAAACAGUGGUAGUUCGGAGUUGCACAUCAGGUGUUCGACAUUUUGUGUCAAUGAGUUUUAUGAAUGUAGUCAGUAUAUGCUAUACAUGUCCUAAUAAUGAUCAGUUGAGGAUUGAAGCAGUUACCAUUACAAAUGCUUUUUUGUUUUAUUAGAAUCAUGUAGAAUCUUGACUUCCCAUAAGUUUAUUUUAGAAACUUUCAUGUAAUACAUGUGGUGUUAUUUUAGGAGAUAAUGUAUGAUUUGUCAUUUUUUAGGCAGAUUAGUUGUG